AUAAAUGACCGAGUCGAACACCACAUUAAGCACUGCAUUCUCAGAAAUCAGAACUGACUAGAGCACAGCCAAAAUGCCAGGAACAAAAGGUAAUAAGUCGGACAAGAAGUCAGCUACCAAGCAACCUCAGAGUCCUAAAGAGCAGCCGAAGAAAGGUGAUCAGAAAGGAGAUGAUAACAAGAAGCAAGGAGCAGGACAGCCGAAGGGAGAGAAGCAAUAACUUCCAGGCAUUUGUGAAGAUGGCUUUGGAGACACUGCUGGGGUCCUGCCGUCGUAAACAUGGGAGCCCCCGGGGCAAACAGGGCUGAAUGCACCUCCCCUCCGCACUUUCCCCCCUGAGCCCGCAGACUGGGCUGUUCUACGGCCUUCCAACACAACAUCUGCUCACCUCUCACAGAGGCAGAAAGUGAACCUGAUCUCCAUCCAUCACCAUAUGUUCUUCAACCUCUGUUCCUCCACCUCCCUUCUCCAACCUUUUUCUGUCCCCGUUCCCUCACUGUCCACUCUGGCUGAUUGGAUGCUCAGAAACAGACUCUAGGUUAAACCGGAUGAUUCUUUUGAGCAAAAAAUUUUUUGUCAACCCUUUGCAACCCUUCCCUAAAUCACCCUCCUAUCAUGACUGACUGUCUAACAGUCCAUACAUUCUUGUAAAUAAUAAUUCAAAUAAACAGCUAUUUAUUACAGCA